UGCGUAGGGGGCUAGCGUUGUCCGGAAUCAUUGGGCGUAAAGCGCGUGUAGGCGGCCCGAUAAGUCCGCUGUGAAAGUCCAGGGCUCAACCCUGGGAUGCCGGUGGAUACUGUCGGGCUCGAGUCCGGAAGAGGCGAGUGGAAUUCCUGGUGUAGCGGUGAAAUGCGCAGAUAUCAGGAGGAACACCAGUGGCGAAGGCGGCCGCCUGGACCUGACCUGACGCUGAGGAGCGAAAGCGUGGGGAGCGAACAGG
rnacentral:rRNA from 1 species